rnacentral:lncRNA from 1 species
ACUAAUUAGAAUUGAAUUAUGUGGGAUAUGGGAUGAGAAGAGAAAUCAAGAGUUAAUCUCUGCAGGAAAGUGGGCCUAAGGUUCCCUUAUUUGAUUGAUGUUUGUAUUUUUUUUAUUUUGGUAAAAAUUGACUCCUGUGUAGACAGUAGAGUGACAGAUGAAGAGCUCAAUCCCACAUAGAAAUAAAAGGUGGAGGCCGGGUGCAGUGGCUCACACCUAUAUUCCCAGCACUUCAGGAGGCUGAGGUAGGCGGAUCACCUAAGGUCAGGAGUUCAAGAGCAACCUGGUCAACAUGGUGAAACCCUAUCUCUACAAAAAUAGAAAAAUUAGCCAGGCAUGAUGACAGGUGCCUGUAAUCCCAGCUACUCGGGAGGCUGAGGUGGGAGAAUUGCUUGAAUCCAGGAGAUGGAGGUUGCAGUGAGCAGAGAUCACGCCAUUGCACUCCAGCCUGGGCGACAGAGCAAGACGCCAUCUCAAAAAAAAAAAAAAAAAAGAAAGAAAGAAAAGAAGAGGUGGAAUUAAUGUCCCAAGGCUCUAAAUUUCUUUAGAAAAAAGAAAUAGUCCUCCAUCAAACUGAGCACAUUGCUGCCUCAGGCAACUGGGCACUGAGAAAGUGCUCUCUGGUCUAGAGUUACUGACUCACAUCACAGAGCUUGGACCAGUUGUUAAUCAGUUCUUGAAGAUGGGGGAGGAGAUAAAAGGUGACCCUGAAGUUGCUCCCCUCACCAUCCAGCCCAGCUUUUUGGACCUCUAGAUCCUUCCACCCUCCUCUGUGCCACCUAUUUGCUGAUUCUACCCUUUUAUAUAUGCAGUCAAUCCUCAUUAUUCAUGGAUUCAGCAUUUGCAAAUUCGCCUUCUUACAAAAAUGUAUUUGUAACCCCAAAAUCAACACCCGGGAGUUUUUGUGGUCAUUUGCAGACAUACACAAAGGGGCCAAAAAUAUCAGUUGCUCAACAGGGAAUAUUCCCAAAUGACAUCCAGUAAGACAACUCUCUCCCUUCUUGUUUCAGCACUGGUACUGUAAAUAUUAAUACGUAUUUUUUUCACGAUCUAUGUAGUGCCGUGUUUUCAAUUUUUGUGGUUUUUAUUGGUGAUUUCACUGCUUACUGUUUAUGAAAAUGUUAUGACUAUGGGAUUGUAGGGACCUAACUCUGCAUUUUCCGCAGAAGAAAUGGUUCAGUGGUCACUAAUUCGGUGUUCUCAGCAAUUUUAUAGAUUAUAAGUACAGCAGAUAAUGAAAAUUGACUAUGUAUAUACAAUUUUAGUGCAAUUUUCUGUUUUUUCAACUUUUCACAGUGAGGAGAUGGGGAAACAAAGAGAUUAGAUUACUUCCCAAGAUCACACUGCUGAUAAACAGCAGGGCUGGGAUCCAACCCUGGCAUCUGCUCCUUAGGCAAAUAAACCAUGUUAACCAAAAAUAUCACAGCGGCUAGAGAAGCAAUCUGAAUCCAGUGAAAUUGGAAUUGU